CUUAAUACAUGCAAGUCGAGCGGUAGAUUGACUUCGGUUGAUUGAGAGCGGCGCACGGGUGAGUAACGCGUACGUGACCUGCCCUUAAGAGGGGGAUAGCCCUGGGAAACUGGGAGUAAUCCGCCAUGUGUUUGUGAAGCUGCAUGGUUUUACAAAUAAAGCUGAGGCGCUUAAGGAUGGGCGUGCGUCUGAUUAGGUAGUUGGCAGGGUAACGGCCUACCAAGCCUACGAUCAGUAGGGGGCGUGAGAGCGUGGCCCCCCACACGGGUACUGAGACACGGACCCGACUCCUACGGGAGGCAGCAGUAAGGAAUAUUGGUCAAUGGGCGGAAGCCUGAACCAGCCAUCCCGCGUGCAGGAUGAAGGCCCUAUGGGUUGUAAACUGCUUUAGACUGAGAAGAAACCCCUCAAUGCGUUGGGGGCUGACGGUAUCAGUAGAAUAAGCACCGGCUAACUCCGUGCCAGCAGCCGCGGUAAUACGGAGGGUGCAAGCGUUAUCCGGAAUCACUGGGUUUAAAGGGUGCGUAGG
rnacentral:rRNA from 1 species